rnacentral:lncRNA from 1 species
GUUCCUCUUGUGCCCGAGCCUGUGGUCGCCGUCGACGUCGACGAAGAAGACGUUAGUCAUCUAUCUCCUUUAUUAUUAUUGUAAAAUCCUAGAUUUUGUCUGGUUUGUCCUUUUCUCUAUUUUUGGGGAAGGACAUGGUUUCUUUUUUUCUUUAAUCGAUGAGAUGCCUAUCCAGAUUGUGUAGAUGUGUUACCUAACUUGCUAGGUUACAUGUGUUGAGCACUUUAGAGGUCAUUUUUUGAUCUAUAUAAAUUGUUCUGCUAAUAAUCCGGCUAUGGUUGGUUAUUGUGCUUAUACUAUUUCGUAGCUGCACCUUGGAAUUGAAUUUCCUAUGCAGAUGAUUGUGAUAAUAACAUAAAUAUUGAUUUGCGCUGAGCACGAGUUAUGUACUAGGAAAAUAAGGUCUUAAAAUGUUGAGUAAAUGCUUUGCUGGUUUUGUUCUUUGAGCACUGAUUUUUUGUUUUAAUUUAAUGAUCUACCCAAGUGAUUGUGACAAUGAUUUUAAGCAUUGAUUAUCUCUGGGCAGCGGCUAAUGCAUAAAGAAGCUGGAUUUCAUCAUUGUUUUACUUGAGCAUUGUUAAUUUGUUUCUUUGUAAAUAAAAAUUUUUGGAUCGCUUCUUGUCAGAAUUCAUAAUAACUACUUAUCUAGAAUGUUGAAUAGUUAAGGACCAUUGACGGCCAGGGUAUCAACAGGGGAAUCUGCCACGACGAUAACAUGGAGACUUUCAAUAUCCAUGAUCCUAACCACACAAAAUACAGGGUGGCUCUUUUAUGACAAUGGACUGGAUGCAAGAAAGCAAGAGAAUGGUCUUAUUUUUGUAGCAAUUUGUGGUUAGCUAACGAGAUCCAUAAGAUAGACAACUGGCGGUAUCUUUAAGAUAGAGAACCAGGAAAUAGUAGCUGGAUAUGGUAGUCAAAUCUUACUAAUUGACUAGCAAAUACUCCCUCCGUUCCAAAAUAGAUGACUCAACUUUGUACUAACUUUAGUACAAAGUUAAUACAAAGUCGGGUCAUCUAUUUUGGAACGGAGGGAGUAUAUCAGUGAGCAAGGGAGGUGUGUUGGAAGCUUGGAGAAUACAUAUGUAGUUGAUUUUUUUACUGUUCUAGAGACGUCUCUCUUUUCCUAUAUUGCUAAAUUUAUAGAACUCACUACCUAUUUUAUAGAGUCAUGCACCAGUGACACAUCAGCAAGUCAUCCAUGUAAGUUUUAAAUCUUCGCAUUGGUACAUCUUUAUGCAGCUCUGCCAUGGUACAUCAUCAGUUCAUGUAUUUUACGUCGUGAGUGAUUUUUUUGCAUUAAGUUGUGUGCUCUCAUCGUCGUGGUAACUUUGUUGGGUGCUUGGCACAUGGUUGAUCCUUCAUUAUUUUCUAUUAUAUGUUAUCCCAUUGGUUGUUUAUGUAGCACCUAAUAAACAACACAUUUCUUUCAUCAAGAUCAUUUAGGGUUUUGGGUUUACACUAUCAUCUAUAAUAUUAUGUUUCAUAUACUCUGUGCCUGCUGAAUUCCCAUUAUUAACGCAACAUUUUUUACUACAUGUAGAUACUAUCUGAAGACGUCGAUAGUGACGAAGAAGGCCAGAUGAUCUACAGGAAUCGCAAGGGGAGGGAGCUUGUCGGUGGUGUGCAUGCCAGACGUGUCAGGCCUAGUGCUGGGCGCUACGGAUGCCCUUUCUGCAACCACAAGGUUAAUAACACCCGUAUGAGUAUUAUCCAGCAUGCACUCG